ACGGAAGGCAGCAGUGGGGAAUAUUGCACAAUGGGCGAAAGCCUGGUGCAGCGACGCCGCGUGAGUGAAGAAGUAUUUCGGUAUGUAAAGCUCUAUCAGCAGGGAAGAAAAAUGACGGUACCUGACUAAGAAGCACCGGCUAAAUACGUGCCAGCAGCCGCGGUAAUACGUAUGGUGCAAGCGUUAUCCGGAUUUACUGGGUGUAAAGGGAGCGCAGGCGGUACGGCAAGUCUGAUGUGAAAGCCCGGGGCUCAACCCCGGUACUGCAUUGGAAACUGUCGAACUAGAGUGUCGGAGGGGUAAGCGGAAUUCCUAGUGUAGCGGUGAAAUGCGUAGAUAUUAGGAGGAACACCAGUGGCGAAGGCGGCUUACUGGACGAUAACUGACGCUGAGGCUCGAAAGCGUGGGGAGCAAACAGGAUUAGAUACCCUGGUA
rnacentral:rRNA from 1 species